rnacentral:lncRNA from 1 species
CCAAACUCUACAAAUAAUCUUCUGUCUUAAGAGCACCCAGGAUGUGUUUUCAUUGGUACGGAAUUAGCUAGCCCUGGGAAAGACAGUCCCUCCAGAGUUAGCAACACCCCAAGAUGUCAAAGAUAAAAAUGCAAAAAUUAAAACUCCAUGAUUAACACAACUUUGAAGUCCUUCUCACUUGUCUUUAGAUGAAGGGCAACAUCAUUGCAACAAGUCACACUUUGAGAACUCAAGAGAAUAUGUUUGUUCUGAAAAUCCAGGAAUUAUUGCCAACCCAUGGUUGUCUCCAUAUGUCUUGGGAAAAAUAGGAAAAGGAUUUUUUGAGUUGGUGAUUUGAAUCCAAGACACAAAGAUUCAGGCUCUGGUAAAAAGAUUGUAUAGGCUAUAUUGGCUGACAUAAAAGAGACAUAAAAGGCACACAAUGAAAUCUUAAUAAAUGUAUUGGAUGUUGCAGCAUUAACUGAUGAGCCAGACAAUGUAAAGACCUCAGACUACCAAAUGUUUUGAAAGACGAAUAGUGAAUGUGAAACUGUGAACCAAAAUAGAUUUUUAGAAUCCUUGAAAAAAUAGAGCUAGAGAAAGUCUUUGAGACCAUUGAUUGCAAAUAUUUGAGUUUACAACUGAGCAAAUGGAGAAAAGAGAAGUGACUCGUCAGUCCAACAAGUGGCAGAAUCAGAACCAGACCCCAAUGCUUGGGUCUUCUGUCCCUCCUGGCACCAAAGUCACCUAUCAUAAGUAACUUGAGUUUCAGAGGGGAAGGAAAAGACUACAAUGUCCCAGCACUGUUCCAGACACUUUUUAGGGGACUCCAAGACACCUUGUGUAAUGCCUAUUUUAAGUAGCUGGAAGAUUCUAUAGCAUGGGAAAAGCCCACUGAAGGCAAAAGUAAACAUUACCUAUUGUGGUCCUGGAAAAGAAAAUCAUCUCUCAUUUAUCUCCUGGAGCUGUUUGACGAACUUGGUGCUGUCUCAGUGGAAUAGUCAACCAAUGUAUCCUACAUUUUGGACCAGCAGAAGGAAGUAAUGAGAACAGAAAACAAAUAAGAAGUGAGUUGGAGGGAGAAGGAGACUUUAGCAUCUUCCUGAAAUCAGGAAGAAAGUUUCAAGAAUAAAGUAAUCCAUAGGGUCAAAUACUGCAGUAAGUUUAAUUAGGAUGAAGACUGCAAAGAUGGUAUUAGUUUGGUACUUAGGACAUUGGUGACCUCCACAGGUGACUUUCAGGAGAAUUAUCUGGGGAACUUGUUGAUAGAAUUUGUGAAUCUCCACCUUUAGGGAUUCUGAUUUAGAAGGAGUAGGAAGAAGGCCUUAGGAUCUCCAUUUAUAACAACCACUACUGAUUAUUUUGAGGCAGGUAGCAUACAGACCACAUUUGAAAGAAACACUAGGUAAGUGUGAUUUUCAUUCAAAGGACAAAAAACAUAAAGUUACCUAAUUCAGGGACCAUUUCAAAGACCAAAUCAAAUCAGUAGCCUGGCUGAUCUGAUCGACUGCGCAGAAACUAGCCAUUACCAUGGCAAAGUGGGGAGGAACAGUCAAUAAAAAGCAAUUGAUGGCCAGGCGCGGUGGCUCACGCCUGUAAUCCCAGCACUUUGGGAGGCCAAGGCGGGCGGAUCACGAGG